GAUGAACGCUGGCGGCGUGCUUAACACAUGCAAGUCGAACGGGAAACCUUUUAUUGAAGCUUCGGCAGAUUUAGCUGGUUUCUAGUGGCGGACGGGUGAGUAACGCGUGGGUAACCUGCCCUAUACAGGGGGAUAACAACCAGAAAUGGUUGCUAAUACCGCAUAAGCGCACAGGGCCGCAUGGUCCGGUGUGAAAAACUCCGGUGGUAUAGGAUGGACCCGCGUUGGAUUAGCCAGUUGGCAGGGUAACGGCCUACCAAAGCGACGAUCCAUAGCCGGGAUGGGAGCGUGACAGGCUACAAUGGGACUGCGACACAGACCACACUCGUACGGGGGGCAGCAGUAGGGUAUAUUACACACUGAAGGCAAACGUGAUGCCGCGACGUGGCGUAAAAGAAGCUGUAGGUCGGUAUGUGAACUUCUAUCAGCAGGGGAGAGAGUGACGGUACCUGACUAAGAAGCCCCGGCUAACUACGUG
rnacentral:rRNA from 1 species